AUUUAUUUAAUUUUAUGACCAAUAUAAUUGUAUGCAAUAAUAAUUUAUUCCUGUGUAGAUAAUUAAGAAAUGUUUCUCUGCCUUCCUAAUGUUUUGCAUUCGAUAUGGUUUUUAUCAGUCAGGGAAAGCCGUUAUUGUUAUCAGUUUCAUUUUGUUAACAGGAUUUAUAUUGCAGUUUCAUAUGCUAGUUCGUAAUUAUAAGAAAUACACACAAAUGGAAACUGUUAGUGAUUAUGUAAAUGAGCUAUCAAACAGAUUAAAUUCUGUAGAAAAAGUGGUAGAUAGAACAUCUACACUUUU